GGCGGGCCCCUGCGCAUUGCGGCAUGGCCAACCUGGUCAGGUCGGGAACGAAGCAGCCACAGCUAUUCACCGCAAGUGCCGCAGAUCAGGCUCGCCUCUU
rnacentral:SRP_RNA from 5 species